ACGGCCUGCCCUGCCCGCCGCCCAGGGGCGCGGAACCGGGGUCGGCUUCCCUGGCGCACCGUGAACGCCCCGCAGGGCACCCCUAGGAGCUGGAGGGGAACGCGCAGUUUCCUGCCCCCGGGACACACACAGGGAUGGAGACAGUGAGGUUCAGAGAAAUAAAAGGAAAUGCGUCAGGCUAGCCGGUAAACAACGGAAGAAGUCUUUCCCUGUCCUGUCCGUGGGCCGAUCCUUGGAAAGUUCUAGGCACUGGGCAAUGGGUAUGAUUAUUCCCAUUUUACAGAGGAGAAAACCAAGGCUAUGACAUGUGCGAGGUCAUGCUGCUGCUAAGAAGCAGAAUAACACCCAGUCCUCAUCCCGUCAAGUGCCCAUCGGAAGAGGUGCUUCUUGCUGGAGGGUGGUUUCCUGGUGACCUGGUUUCCUGGUGAUCAGUGUAGCCUGUGAGCUGCCUGGGCCAUGUAGCAAUGGCUACCUCUUACCACUAGAUGGGGACCUGGAGUUGUCCAGACCUGGAGUCUAGGACUCUGGCUCCUGCUGCCCAGAGGCACUGCCCCUCCUGCCUCAGGCCUGCUUCAGAUCAAGGGUUCCCAUCUUGCCUUGUUAGACCCAAGCCCACUUCCUGUGCCUCCGUUCCAAUUUCUGGCUAGGUCCUGCUGCCAGGCAACAACACUGAAGGAAGAGACGGACCAUAGACUUUGUGCAGCCAGAGACCUGAGUUCUAAUUCCAGUUGCACCACACAAAAACAGACACAUAGUUCAAUGGAACAGAAUAGAGAACCCAGAAAUGGGCCCUCAACUCUAAGGUCAACUAAUAUUUGACAAAGCAGGACAGACUAUCCACUGGAAAAAGGACAAUCUCUUC